GAUGGAAGAACGUAGCGAAAUGCGAUAAGUAAUGUGAAUUGCAGAAUUCAGUGAAUCAUCGAAUCUUUGAACGCACAUUGCGCCCGCCAGUAUUCUGGCGGGCAUGCCUGUUCGAGCGUCAUUUCAACCAUCAAGCCCCAGGCUUGUGUUGGAGCCCUGCGGCUGCCGCAGCCUCCCAAAACCAGUGGCGGGCUCGCUAUCACACCGAGUGCAGUAGUUUACUCUUCGCUCAGGGCGUGUGGCGGGUGCUAGCCGUAAAACCCCCAACUUCUCAAGGUUGACCUCGGAUCAGGUAGGAAUACCCGCUGAACUUAAGCAUAUCAAUAAGCGGAGGA
rnacentral:misc_RNA from 1 species